UCUUUUUGCUACAAGGAAAACAAAAUUCAUAAGCAAUUAAGCAUCCCUUUCUGAACCUGCUGCUACUACUUCCUUUACCUUCAUUGCAAACAAGCUUUAGAAGUAGUUGGUCGAAAAAUUGUCAAAAAGUGUAAUGGGUUAGCUUUGGCUGCUCAAACACUUGGAGGUUUAUUAAGAGCAAGAAAAGAAGUAGCGAAUUGGGAGUUUAUAUUGAGGAGUGAAAUUUGGGAACUUCCCAAAAAAGAUAGUGGGAUUCUUCCUGCAUUAAGAAUCAGUUAUCACUACCUCCCUUCACACUUAAAACGUUGCUUUGUUUAUUGUUCUUUAUUCCCAAAAGACUAUGAAUUCCAAAGAGAUGAACUGGUGUUAUUGUGGAUGGCAGAAGGUCUUUUGCAGCAACCAAAGAGUGGCAGCACUUUAGAAGAAGUUGGUUCUAAAUAUUUUAAUGAUUUGGUUUCGAGAUCAUUUUUCCAACAUUCUAACACCGAUGAAGGAUAUUUUGUGAUGCACGAUCUCAUGCAUGAUUUAUCAAUAUUCUAUGGUGGAAAGUUCUUUUCUAGAAACUUUGAACUCGAAACUGCAGACAAGCAUGAUGCUUGUCCUCGUCCUCGUCAUCUUUCAUAUGAUGGUUGGAUCGAUGAUUCGCUAUUCUCAGAGAUAUUGGAAGUAUGUGGUUGUUUAAAAAAUGCAAGGACAUUGCUUUAUAUCGGUUUUUAUACGUGGGAUCUUUCCCCAGAGGAAUAUGAUCCUUGUCGCUUACUUGCACAGUUGAAGCACUUAAGGGUUUUGUCAUUUCAAUUCCUUCCUCUUGAUGAUUCAAUAAGUGAUUUGAUCCAUUUGCGUUAUUUGGAUCUCUCUUGUACACCUAUGGUGACAUUGCCAGAGUCAAUGAGCAAAUUGUAUAAUUUACAAACACUGAAGUUUACUGGUGGAUAUCUAGAAAAGCUUCCAAGCAACAUGCAGGAUCUUGUAAAUUUGCUUCAUUUGGAUCUCUCUUCUACGGCAAUUGAGGUAUUGCCCGAGUCAUUGAGCAAAUUGCAUAAUUUACAAACGUUGAAGUUGAGAGAGUGUGAAAACCUGAAAAAGCUUCCAAGCAAGAUGCAAGAUCUUAUAAAUUUGCACCAUCUCGAUAUUGAAGGUACUAAAAUAGAAGAGAUGCCGAAAAGGAUGAGCAAAUUAAAAGACCUACAGAUUUUAUGUUACUAUAUUGUCGGCGAGCGUGAAGAGAAUGGGAUAGGGGAAUUGGGAGAACUUGUAAAUCUUCAAGGGUCAUUUCGUAUUAAGAAAUUAGAGAAUGUGGUUGAUAGCAGUGAAGCUUGGAAAGCAAGGAUGGUUGAUAAGAAAUACAUCAGUGAUCUAUAUUUGAAGUGGUCAUCAGGUGAAGAUAGUGAUAUUGUUAAUUCCCAAAUCGAAAAAGAUGUGCUUUGCAAAUUAGAACCUCACAAUGACCUGAAAUAUCUAAAAAUAAAGGGUUACAGGUGUACCGUGUUUCCGGAUUGGGUAGGGCAGUCUUCGUACCACAACAUGACUGAAUUGGAGCUGUGGAAAUGCAGGAAUUGUUGUGUGGUUCCUUCACUUGGACAGUUACCCUCUCUGGAGAGGCUGGUCAUUAGAGAGCUCGACAAGGUGAAGAAGAUUGGUGGGUCAUUCUAUAAGGGUGAUGGAACUCAUCAGCAUCAGGAGACACCCUUCCGAUCCCUUAAAUCUCUGGAAUUUUAUUAUAUGUGUUGCUGGGAGGAAUGGGAGUCAUAUGAAUGUGAUGAUGAUGAUGAUGAUGCACCAUUUCCGAAACUUGAGAAGCUCCGUAUUUCUGAAUGUCCAAAGUUAAGAGGAGAUUUGCCCACUUUCCUUCCGUCUUUGAAAGAACUUGUCAUUUCAGGAUGCGAGGAGCUUGGUUGUUAUCUGCCAAGAGCUCCCAUCAUUCGCGAAUUAAGAAUAUUUUGCAAACAGGAAGCAAGAAUGUGGGACCUAUCACUUUCAAUGUUGGAGAAACUAUCCAUUAAUGGAGAGCAGCAGGUGGAGUAUGUGUUUGAUGCCAUGUCUCACACCCAACCAACCUCUCUCACACUUUUAAGCAUCGCAAACUGCUCAUCAGCCAUAUCAUUUUCAGGGAUUUCUCUGCCCCCUUCAUUGAAAGAGCUGUACAUCUACGAUUGCAAGAAUGUAGAAUUCACAAUGCAACACCAACAACAUCAGUCACUAACGAAUCUUACAAUACAGAACAGCUGUGAUUCGCUUACAUCCUUCGCAUUGCCAGCAUUCCCAAAUCUCAAGGAUCUCAGAAUCGCAAGACGUGAAAAUUUGACAUCUCUGGAGGUGUCACAGUCACAGUCCCUCCGAGAAUUAUGGAUUGAAGAAUGCCCUAAGCUGGGGAAGAUAAUAAGGCUGCCUGCCUCUUUAGAGACUCUCAAAAUCAGAGCAUGUCCGUUGUUGGGUGAAGGCAUAGAGAGGAAGGACCCCCACAUUUGGCCAUCCAUUUCCCACAUCCCCCGCAUUCGACUUGAUGGGAAACUGAUUCUCAAUGACUCAACAUCUUAAAACAGGUAACUCUUUUUCUCUCUCUUCCCCAAAGGCACUUCGUCUUCACCAACAUCAAAUUCAUUCUUUCAUACAUUAUAUUAUCAUUAACAUAAUUUUGUUCAUACUGAAUUUCAUCAACCCAUUUUAUUUUUUUGUAGUAACAAGUCAUGCUGCUUGUUUAUCAAAUCUACUCUACACUGUUUCAAAUCAUGUGUCUCAUGUCCUUCUACUCUAAGUAUAAAACUUUAUCCUCUGUCAUAACACUGUCAAUCACCACUACAGCACAUGGUCGGGGCAAAUUUAGUUAUCAUGAUAACAGAAAGGAAUUCUGAGGCAUGCCUUUUGACCAAAUCUUGACUUUUCAGUUUUGAGUUGCAUUAUAUGGUUGUUAGUGUAUCAUAACUCAUAUUUCAACUGGCCCAUCUUCGCUAUCACUCGUCUACUCCCACUUUUUAAGCUUCUCAUCAUUGGACCGUCGCACAACAAAAUAGUAAAACAUUUGGUCUCUUUUUUGCAGGAAGCAUAUCGGAAUAAAGAGUUUGGUUGAUAUUCUCUGCAGUUGACAAUUCAUAAUAUUGUGAUUUUUCGGAUAAAAAGAUGUCUAUGAUUGUAAGAAAAAAAGCAUUUAUGCCCCCAACUAUAUAUUCCUGACUUCCUGUACUUGAUUUGCUACACUUUCCUAAAUCCUAAUUUUCCUUACUUUUGUUGCAGUAACAUUUUUGGGCUGCCUUGACCACCUUCCUUUUGCUAUUUCCUCCCCUUCCAAUUCAAUGUUGGGUUUAUUACUGCUUUUGCUGGUCUUGCCUUGAGAGUUGUAAGCAACUUUUCACUUUUUCAUUGCAUCCAUAUUUGUUUCAUUUUUCUUCUUCUGUAAUGUGAACGAACAUGUACAUUAUUGCUUAAUGCCUUCUUGCCUUCUUCGUAUGAAUAAUGGAAUAUAGAUAAAAUGGAAGAAAAUAUGAUCUAGGAAUACACACUUCUAAUUCCAGUCAAAUAAUGAUGCCUUGAGAAGCUUAAUUAAUUUUCCUAAUUUUACCAAAGGUAUUCAGGUAAAAUUUUAAGUUACUCGUUGUUUCAUUGCAUGAUGCAUAUUAUACUCCUAGAACCAUGUUUUCCAAAGAUUAAUUUUAUUGGCACUGUUACCUCUGAAUUUUGGUCGUUCUGGAAGUUAUAUAUUAUGAAUGUCACUAGGGCUUAUAUAUAUUGGACUUGUACCCUCACUCUAUCAUAUAGAGCACCAAUGUCAUUGCCAACUGUAGAGUGUAGAGAGUAGAUGCAUCAAUUCUGAUUGAUUUAACCACCAUGUAUCUCAAUCACUAAGCAUAUUCAAAUUACAUAGUAGUUGAGGACAAGGACACUGGACAUUGCAAGCAAGAAAUUACAUUCUUAGUGAUGUUUGUCAUUUAUUUAUUUUUUCUUGUGGUAGCUAUAGUAUUAAUCUAUGUUGCCAUGUUCUUCAGGUUGAUAGGGUACAUCAAGCAUCUCAUGAAUUCCACCAUGGCUCUAUCAAUUCAGAGCUCUUUGGCGCCGCUCAGAUCCCUGGGAGCUCCAAGAUGGGGCGGUGGAUUGUUAGUCAUCCUUAGGAUUUAGAUAAAGCUGUAGACAAUUGGAACGAGGAAAAUAGGCUCUUUUUAGAAAGCUGUUAAGGCCAUUUAGGUAAAGAUAGGACAGUUAGUAGGAGUAGUUGUUAGGUUAGUUACUAUAAUGGAAUUGAGAAUGUAAUUGAUGGGAAUAAGGGUAGUGGCCUAAACAGUUAGUAUUAGAAGGCUUGCUGAUUUCAUUGUCAAGCAAAUUUUGAUGUUGAAUAAAAAAAACUGGAGAGUACCGCCUCUCUUUCCUCUUGUGGAGUUCUUAACCUUGGUCUAAACAAAGUGUUACAUUGGUGUUUUUGCCGUUAACAUAUGGAGAGAUUGGUAUUGGACAUAGGGGUGGGGAUGAGAUUGAUAGUAAAACUUGUCAUGUUUCAUUUGAUAUUGAUGGUAAUGUUGCAGUCUCAAAAAAUUUGGAAGCAUGUGAUAAUUUUAAAUUUGCAAGAACAUUGUUAAGGGAUGCCCUUCCAUUAUUACAACCUCAAAGGAAAUAGUCCUUGUGUAUGACUUUUACUAUCAAAGCUGGAGAGCUUAAGAGUUUUUUCGUUUGAAUGGUUUCCUCUUGAUUCAUUGGCCAAUUCAACAUUAAACUGAUAAGUUUGUGUUAUUUGGAUCUUUCUGAAUCAUCUAUAAAGAUAUAACCUGAGUCAUCUACAAAUAUUGAAGUUGAAUUGUUUGACUUUCUGGUGCCUGGUCCACAGAUCUUCUUUGCAUAUGUUUACCACCUAAGGCAAGUUUGUAUAAUCUUUUCUACAUCACAUGAAAUGGCACACUCAUUCUUAAUUUUAUCUCUUCUAGAAUGUCAGAAAGUCCUAGUAUAUCCUAGUGAAUCAGUGCAGUUAUUGUUAACUUCUAUCAAAUUGAAGCAUUGAAGGUAGAAGCCAUUUCUUCCAACUGCCAUCUUUGACCUUCCAUUAGGCAUCAAAGGCAGAGAAUGUGAUGUUGUUUGAGACACCUCCAGAGCUGAGACGAGAAUGGAGGUAGACAAGAAGCUAACUCUGGAUUGACUUCAAGAUUGCGAAUUUUAUCAAAAUCUUAAUUUUACCAGAUAAUGAAUGUGCUUAUCUGUUAGCGUAGUAUAGGAUACUGGUGUUUAUGUACUGUUUGCAACGCAUGUUGAAUGGAUAUUCAUUUUUAAUUGUUAUUCCUGCUAGUUUAACAUCUUCUGAAACAAUUCAAAAGGAAGAAAUCAAAUCAUCUUGAGAAUUAUUAUAGUAUUAUAAAUAAAACCUUCCUAUAAAUAAUCUGAUAUAUAGCUUCUGCAGAAUGCAAUUUGUAUAUAAAAGAACAAGAAAAUCAUGCAUUGUAAGCAUUUUCAACUGAAAUUUUUUCAUGGAGCCUCUCUAUUAGAAUCUACCAACAAUGAUAGUAACGAGAAUGAGAUGAUUCAGUCUAUCCAAAUUUAUAGUAGCACAACAAAAUUGUGCGAGUAAGUUGAUAGUUUUUAUUUAUUAAUUUAUUUUUAAAAAUAUAAAAAACCUUAUUGAAAGGUUAAUUGUUUUUCCUUGUGAAUGUGAUUUCCUUUUUUUGAUAUUCUUUAUUUGAUAGGUUUUGUGCCCACGAAUAUGAAAUUAAAAGACAUGGCUGGAGCUGCUCUGGCUUACAAAUGCAUGGAGGUGGCAUAUAUGAGGGUAGAAUAUAGCUUAAUCAUAAAAUCACAAUAGAGUAUUCUUUUAUUUUAUUUUUAUUUAUUUUAUUUUUUAUUUUGGGUUGAAAAAUUGUUACGCCUCGUGUAGCUCUAUCACAUAUUUUCCGAACAUUGUUCAUCAUGCUAGAUGUCAGAUUCAUAAACAAAGGUUGGGGGAAAAAGCCUAAUGUUGAACUAAACUAGUAGAUUAAAUUAAGAUUUAACUAGUGGCAGCACUAUCAACCUAUGAUGCAUAGAUACUUCAAACUAGUCACCGUAUUUCCAUUAGAUACAUGUCAUGUCAAAUACUUUGAAGAUACGUAUGGUUAUAUUUUGCCAAUGUUAUUAGAUGUACACACACUUUCCCUUGUUACCUUGAACACUAUAACUCUGGCAACAGCUUCAACUACGAGGGAAUCUUCAUUAUCCCCUGCUGUAAUUUAUUAGUAUAAUAAAUUAAUAAUCAUCAUAUCCGUGUAAUCUAUUACUAAGUAGAGAGUCUAACCAUGUUAAAUCCUUCUUGUCAUGUGUUACCAAUCAAUUGUUAUCCACAUUUCGUUAUCAUGUUGGGUGGAGGAAGGCCCUCAUGAUUUAGAUGGCCAUAAAUAGAAUGGAAAAUGUUAGUGUGUUGAAAGUUUCAACUCAAAAAUUGAUGCAAAUAUCACCACCCUAUUGGCUAUUGGACUUCAUAAGAAUCUAUAACAGAAAGAAGAAAGUAAUAACUCUAACAACAACCAAUAAAAAAAAGAGAACGAAAAUCACAUAAAAAAAAACUAAGUUCAUCCACUAAAAUAAAUACAAAAAUUAAACUAUCAAAUAAAAAUAUUACUUUAUAACUCUAACAUCCAAAUUUAUUAUAUUACAAAUUAUUUUAAAUAAAAUAUCUUUUAAAUUUAACUUUAGUUUAUACAUAUUUAAUUUAAUUUUAUAAAAUAUAAUAAUUUUUAAUAUUUAUUAUAUACUAUUAUUAAUUUACGUCCUCUGUAUAGCGCAAAUCACAUUCUAGUUUUUCUAAAUCUCUUUAACCCGAUUUGCAAUUACAUGAAGUCUAAAGUCAAACAUAGAAUUAUUUUCAGCAGUACACACCAUUUCUAGCCGCAUAUUUUGAAUUGAAUAUUCUAGUCAGGUUCUUUAAGGAUCAGAACCAACUUCCACCGCGGAAGACAAAUCCAUCAUGCUAUUGGCUAUUGGAUGCAGUGUGGACCACACAUAGAAUUAUGAAAGCACUCACUUUUUUUUUCCGAGGAAGAGAGAAGGAAUCAUCAUAUGAACUUGUCCCAAAGACCAAUGAGCAUGUGUGAAGUCAAUGUCUUCUUGCUACAAGGAAAACAAAAUACAUAAGCAAUUAAGCAUCACUUUCUGAACCUACUGCUACUACUUCCUUUACCUUCAUUGCAAACAAUCAUCCACUACUUUCCUUGUUUUCUUUCUUCUAAUCUUGAGAUCAACAUGGCUGCAAGAUUUGUGGGAGAAGCUUUUCUCAACUCUGCACUUGGCACUAUCUACGACAUGCUGAUUUCACCCUUAC
rnacentral:lncRNA from 1 species